AGUGAGAUAUUUUAAAUAAAAUAAUAUUUUUACAAGAUAUAGAUACUUUAUAAGUGGGUUCUUACAA
rnacentral:tRNA from 1 species